rnacentral:rRNA from 1 species
GUAGUCCACGCUGUAAACGAUGGGCACUAGGUGUCCGGGGUAUUGACCCCCUGGGUGCCGCAGCUAACGCAUUAAGUGCCCCGCCUGGGGAGUACGGUCGCAAGAUUAAAACUCAAAGGAAUUGACGGGGACCCGCACAAGCGGUGGAGCAUGUGGUUCAAUUCGACGCAACGCGAAGAACCUUACCUGGGCUCGAACGGCUUUGGAUCGGUUGUGGAAACACGGCCUUCCCGCAAGGGACCGGAGUCGAGGUGCUGCAUGGCUGUCGUCAGCUCGUGUCGUGAGAUGUUGGGUUAUGUCCCGCAACGAGCGCAACCCUUGUCCUGUGUUGCCAGCGGAGCGAUUAUAUCAAGCCGGGCACUCUCAGGAGACCGCCAGCGAUAAGCUGGAGGAAGGUGGGGAUGACGUCAAGUCAUCAUGGCCUUUAUGUCCAGGGCUACACACGUGCUACAAUGGACGGUACAAAGCGCUGCAAACCCGCGAGGGGGAGCCAAUCGCAAAAAACCGUUCUUAGUUCGGAUUGCAGGCUGCAACUCGCCUGCAUGAAGCUGGAAUCGCUAGUAAUGGGGUAUCAGAACGAUCCCGUGAAUA